CGUUAAGUACACGUAAAAUAUUUCGUCGUAAAGCACUCGCGAAAUUUACGUGGCUUUUACGAGGAAAAACUAUUUCCUCGUAAAAGCCACGUCAAUUUACAUCGUCUUUACGACGAAUAUGUUUUAUCGUUACCUUACGACGAAAUAACGAUGCUUUUCUUUCUCCACGUACUUUCCUCGCAAAAUCAACGUUUUUUUACGAGGAUUAUUUUUCCUCGUUAAACUUCCUCGUUAAAGUUACGUUUUAUUGUAGUGGUUAGAUUACGUAGGUAUAAUUGGUUUUUUCUAACAGUAGUUAACUAAUUGAUUACAUCAUCAUACAAUAUCUAUUUUAUUACAUAUGAUGAAUAUUGCAUUACAUGCGGACAUGAUGAACAGUAGCUCUACCUAAAGAACUUUAAAACUUCUGAAAAGCUUGCAACUUAUAAUCUUCAAAAAAAUUGCACUCCCUACCCAUACCUAGUGUAAAAACUUUUAACUUUGACCAUUAAAAACGGUGCUUCCAUAGGGUAUAAUUUCUUCUAAAAUUACUAUUAUUUAUAUAUACCAACGUAAAGACAUUUCUUUUAAAAUUUGUUUCACAACCCAAUAGUAGUUUUCAAAAUAAUAGUAUGUAGUAUAAAUUCCAUAUGUCAACUGAAUAGAUCAAAUAUUAAAUCAUGUUAACAUAUCUAACUAAAUAUAUAAAUAUACUGUAUAAUAGUAUGAAAUAUAAUAUGUUUAUCAAUUCAAAAUGCUUUAUAUAUUAUUUUAUAAAUAUAGUAUAUAAAAUAUAUUAUGUGUUAUGCAUAAAAUACAUUUUUAUAUCAUUUGACGAAAUAUAUUAUAAAUAUAUUUAUUGUUUUUCUCUACGAGUUUCAUAUGAUAGUCAAACACUAUAUAAAAUAUAUGCUACAAAAUAUUGGACAUUUUGCAAAUAUAACUCAAAACUCAAAGUAAAGCACAAAACUAAUCCAUGAUUUUUUUUGAAACUUUCAUUUGCCCUAUUCACUCCGAAAGUUUAGAUUAUUUACGAAAAUAUCAUUAUUAUUAUAAUUAUUAUUCAAAAAUAAGUUUUUUACUCUCUCUCAUCCUCAUCUUCUUCAAGUAUUUAAAAUAUUGCCAUUGCCAUCAAUACACCAACUACUAUGAACAACCAAUUUGAAGCUUUUAAUGUACCUAAAAAAUCGAUUUUGACUCAUAUCUCAUUUCUUAUGAACUAAAAACAACAUCUCUUUCACUUUAUCUCUAUAUUCAUCCAAAAAACCCAAGAUUUUGAUUCGAAAUUUUUUAAGGUUUAUAGAAUCAUUCAAGCUCAUGAUUUGUGGUCAUUAACAAGUAGGUUGCUUCUGUGGUGAAGUAUUGUGUGGUUGGAGAAGCUAAACACGUUAUCUCACUGGUUAAAGCUAUAAAAUCAAUCUUUUUCUAGAUUUGUCCGUUAGAAGACUUUCGUGUAAGUAUUCUCCGACGAGAAGACUUACACAGAAGUCUUUGGUCAAUCCAUAGGUUAGUUUCGCAAUUGACUUUAUGUGUGUCUUUUAGAGACGACUUCUUUGGAAGUCCUCCGGUUUUCUUUGUUUAAAAAAAAAAUAGAGAAGACAACCUGGUAUCGUAUAGGAUAAACAGGUUAGUUUUGCAUUUGAGCGGAUUGUGUCAGAAAUUUGACUUUUCCAAGACGAUUUAUUAGACGACUUCCAAAUAAGUAGUUUCAAGCUACUUUUGCAAUUAAAAAAUAAAACUUUAAUAUAUAAUUUCCUCCGGACGACUUCCAUGUAAGUCUUAUGGUAGACGACUUACACAUAAGUUUUCUAGGAUUUUAUUCCGAGAUUCAAGUCAAAUCUUGGUUAUUACAGAAGAAGACUUAUGUGUAAGUCGUCUGCCGGAAGACUUACAUGGAAGUCGUCCGGAUAAAUAAAAUAUUGAAGUUUUAUUUUUCAAUUGCAAAAGUAACUUGAAACGACUUAAGUGGAAGUCGUCUAAAAAUAUAUAUUUUAUUUUAUUUUUCUGUUGGACAACUUUCGUGUAAGUCGUCUAAGAAAAAUCAAAUUUCUGACAAAAUCCGGUCAAAUGCAAAAAUAACAUACUUAUCCUAGACGAUUUCCAUGUAAGUCAUCUAGGAAAAGUAAAAUUCCUGACACAUAAAGUCAAUUGCAAAACUAAUCUAUGCAUUGACCAGAAUAAGUCUUCCGAACGACUUCCGUGUAAGUCUUCCGGACGACUUCCGUGUAAGUCUUCCGGACGACUUCCGUGUAAGUCUUCCGGACGACUUCCGUGGAAGUCUUCCGGACGGACUUCCGUGGAAGUCCUCAACGUUUAAUAAAAUUUCAUUUUCUUUAAAACUAUAAAUACUUUUUAACAUUUUCUUGUUAACUCAUGUAUACUAGUCAAUAUUGGGGCUCUUGAAUGGAAUUCAUAAAUUAAUUGGUGAUAAUUAUGAGGUUAACAACAUGCAUGCUUAUUAAUGUUUCUAGCUAAUGAGAGAAUACAUUAGUUUUUGUAAAACUUGUAUUUUCAACUCUAAGAUAUAUUUUUUUUAACUUUCAAAAGUGUUAAGUAACUUCAAAAAUAUCAAGUUAUAUGGUUUAAUGUGUCUUUUUAGAUCAUAAGAUAUACUUUUUAACUUUAAUGAAAUUUGAAAUUUUUAUUUUCAUUUAAAAUUUGAGUUUUCCGCUUAAAUUUUAAUUUCCCCGCUUAAAUUUCCCCCUUAUAUUUAAAUUUCUCGCUUGAAAUUUAAGUCUUCCAGAAGACUUCUAUUGAAUCUGUUAUAGGUUUGAAAUAAUGUAAUGUUUGAUCUUUUGUGAUUUUGACUUAUUUUUUCUUGAGAAAUUUUCUCCAUUAGUAAAAUUUGACUAAUCUUUUGUAUUAUUGUGGUUUGCUUUUGAAAUUGUAUCAAUAACUUCAAUAAUGUCAAGUACUUUUGGCAAGAUAAUAUUGUAGAGAUGAACAUAUUUACCAAUAUUAUUAAUAUCUUUUCAAUGUACAAAAUAAUUCACAACUAAAAGAGUACAAAUACAAAUUACAAAACAGACCAUAAAUAAAACAAUUAUUGCUCAUUCCUCCACAAAGACAAGCUUAGACUCCACUUGACAUGAGAGAAGACUUUGUCAGAAGACUUCCAGGAAGUCGUCUAGUGCAUUAAAUGUUAGAAGACAUCUGAGAAGAAAAACUUCAUAUCCAAAGCAUUCAAAUGGUUUGUCUCAGAUAUAAAAAAACCUUCAUAUCCAAAGCAUUCAAAUGGUUUUAAAACAAAGAAAAACUUCAAAAAUAAGGGAAGAGCUUAAAACAACCAAAAGAAUUUUCAAAAAGUAAGAGAUUUAAGCAACAAGAAGUUACCAAAUAACAAAAUAUGAUUUAUAGAUCUAUCUUUAAAGGAGUGGAAGAUGAGAACCAUGUACUGAAAAACCUACAAAACAAGAUGAAUUAGUGAGAAUGACAUGAGACAAAAAAAAUGAUAAAUUGAUAUAAAGUUUUGGUGUUUACAAAAAAAUGAUAAAUUAUGAAAAAGAUAAGAGCUUUAAGCAACUAGAGCUACCAAAGGAAAAAAAAAGACAUAUAAACUUAACAAAACACUCAGAUCUGAAAUGAAAGAGGAUACAUAGGAGAAGACUACGCCAUAAGUCUUCUCCAGCGACUUUAGUCUUCUAGCGCAUUAAAUAUUAGAAGACUUCUGAGAAGAGAAUACUUCCUUGGAAGUCUUCCACGUCUGUCUCAGAAUUGAAAAACCUGCAUAUCCAAAAGCAUUCAAAUGACUUCAAACCAUAGAAAAACUUUAAAAUAAAGGUACGAGCUUAGAACAACCAAAAGAGUUUUCAAAAAGUAAGAGCUUUAAGAAACAAUAAGUUACCAAAUAAGAAAAUAUGAUUUAUAGAUCUACCUUUAAGAGAGUAGAAGAUGAGAACCAUAUAAUAAAAACCUGCAAAAACAAAAUAAAUUAGUGAGAAGACAUGAAAUAACUAUUAAUUGAUAUAAAGUUUCGUGUUUAAAGAUUAAAUAGAUUAGAGAGAGGUUGACGAGUUUUAGAAUGAGAAACAUUACAUUUUUUGCAGUUAUUUGAGAGGAAUAGAGCAAAUGUGUAAAUUUUCUUUAUAAAGGGAGACAAAAAUUUCAAUAAGGUUAUAUUUUUUCGAUUCAGAAGACUUUCAAGUAAGUCUUCUAAUAGAAGACUUCCUAUAAGACUUAUUUGAAAGUGUUUAAUAUACAAAACUAAACAUAUAUAUGUCAAAAAAAAAAAAAUUUAAAAAAUGUUAAGCUUCCAAAAUCUAACCCUAAGAAUACAUAUAAUAAUACAACAUAUGUUGUCAAACCUUAAACCAAAGAAUAUUAUGAUUCACUACUUUCACUUAUCUAUGUUGAAAAUAAUUCAAUUUUAUUAUAUUUUAAUUUAUAUCACUUGCAACUUUUUAUAAUUACAUGAUUUCAAUUUUUUUCCUAACAAAAUAUUUUUUUUUACAAAAUUUAUAAAUUAUUUUCACAACAAGAAAACACAAUUUUAAUGACGAAAAAUAACAAGGAAAAAAAGUCCUUGUAAAAUUAAUUCUUCUUUACGAGUAUCUUAAGAGGAAAAAAUAAAUCUACAUAAUUUCGUCGUAAAGUAACGACAAUAAAGUUUCAUCGUAAAAACGACGCAAUUUAACAUGGUUUUUACGAGGAAACAAGGUUUCGUCGUAAAGUAGACGUAAAUAUAACGAGCACUUUACGACGAAAUAUUUUACGUUUAUUUAGAGUCGAUAUCUUGAGUGCACCAACUUUUUAGUUGAACACGUUUUUGUUUCGGCUAGCUAACUAUAUUUUCUUCCAUACCCUCGGUUGAGAGAAUUAGAAAUAAAUUGGUUAGCCGUUAUCAAAGUUACACCUAGUGGACGAACAAUCGGUGGAGAAGAACAACCUUUUCAAGAAGAACACAUCAAUGAAGUCAAGGAACCUGAACAACAAACUGAUGACAUCCUUCUCAUUGAUCCGCAUAAUCAUGAGUACGAAAAUCUUCCCGACGAUACCACUGACGAAGUUGUUGAAGACGAGUUUAAUGGAAAUGAUGAUGUUUCUAGUGAUGACGAGAAUGUCAAUGAUGUAUCCGAAUGAUGAUGUAAUUUUUUUUAAAUGAUUUACUGUCAGACUUAAUGCAUGUGUUUGGUUUGUUUAAUCAUGAAAAUUAAAUUAUAUAAUUUGAUUUUGUGUAAGGCAAUUGGGGGUUUGGGAUUUGGGAAGAAGAGAUUGAGAUUAUAAGUUAAGGAACUUGGGGUUUGGGGUUUCGGGUUAUAAGGAUUUACAUAUCUUUCUCGUAAAAUCCUCAUAAAAAAAACAUGGGCCUUGUUAUUUCCUCAUAAAAUAACGAGGUCUUUUCGACGAAAUUUAAAAACACUUCGUCGUAAACUACUCGUAAAAAGAAAACGUGGGCCUUGUUAUUUCUUCGUAAGUUUACGUGGACUUUACAACGAAAAUUAAAAAUGCAUGUGUUUAGUUUGUUUAAUCAUGAAAAUUAAAUUAUAUAAUUUGAUUUUGCGUAAAGAAAUUGGGGGUUUCGGGUUUUAGGGAUUUACAUAUAUUCCUCGUAAAGUCCUCGUAAAAGAAAAAACACGGACCUUGCUACUUCCUCGUAAAAAGAAAAAAAAUAGGCCUUGUUAUUUUUUCGUAAAUUAGCGAGGUGUUUACGAUAAAAUUUAAAAACACUUCGUCGUAAACUACUCGUAAAAAAACACGGGCCUUGUUAUAUCCUCGUAAAUUUACGACGAAAAUUAAAAAUGAAAAGACGGACCUUGUUACUUCCUCGUAAUUUCACGAGGAUUUUAUGACAAAAUAUAAAACUCUAUAUAUACUCGAACCAUCUAACUUCUCAUUUCGUAGUCACUUCCUCUCCUCCGCAUAGCAAGGUACUCCUGUCUACUUCCUCUCUAGUUUAGCUUAGGUGGUUAGUUUAGUGUAAUUAGGUUGGUUAGGUGGUUAGUGUAGGGAAUUUGUAGAUAUGUUUAUGGAAUUUGUUGAUAAUAUAUGAUGAUGAGUUUUAAAUGUUAAUUAUCGAUUUAUAUGUUUUCUUUUUAGAUGGUUAAUAAUGAAAUUUUUUUUUCCAGAUGGUUAGACAGAACAAGCUUACAGGAGAUGCGGAGACAAAAUCCCGUUCCAGAGCCACCCCGCACACAAGAAUGAGGAAGAAGUAGAGAGAGGAGGAGUCAAGACCUCUUCAAGGAGAUGUAGAACAACAACCCUUAGUUUUUUUUCUCUUUUUAUCUAUACUAUUAAAGCAAAAUCUCUUAUAGGAUUCUACCCUUAGUUUUUCCCUAUAAUUACAGUACCAUGCCACUGGCUUUUUCUUAAAAAAAAAUACAAAAAGGAAAAUACUACAAAAAAAUAUAUCAAGCAUAUUUCCAAAACAAUCGACACAUGCAAUUCGGGUUUCAUAUAGAAGAUUCAAAGCACCAGAAACAUUUAACUUUUCCAUAACCUACAUAUAUAAAAAAAACGAGUAUGUUACUGAGUUUGACCAUAAACUCAAAAGUGAUUCAAAGCACCCGAAACAUUUCCCUUUCGUUUUCAGAGAGUACAAAUGUGUGUCAUUCAUAUUUUUAUAUCAUAUAACAAAACUGUAAAUACUAAUGCAUAUACUCAUUUCAAAAUAUUAUUUAGAACUACUCUCACGUCAUAAAUCCCUUUCUUAUUAAAAGGGAAUUACUCUUAAAAACCUCAAAAAGUUAGGAGAGAAUUACUCUUAACAACCUCAAAAGGUUAAUGAGAAAUUGAGAACUAUUAAAUCACAAUGAUCAACAUUUUUCACAAGUUGCUAAGCUCUAUAGUUAGUAUAACCGUUGGUUUGUCUAAUAAGUUUGCUACAAUAAAUAUUUGUCAUAUAAAGGGCCGCUCAAACAUCUUAUAGGUCCUAGGGCAAAAAAGAAACAAAGACCCUUUAACAUAUAAAUUACAAAAAUACAAUUCAUAAUAUUACUGCUACAAAUCAAAAUAUUCACAUUUUUAAUCAACAAACAAACACUAAAGAGUAGUUUUUGUUUUUAAACGUAAACAUAACCAAAAACAUAGCCAAAAAAAAGAAAGAAUAUGUGAUCUUUCUAGAAGAUCAAGUGUAUAGAAAAAAAAAAACAGAAAACAUGACAGCAAACGUAAAUUCAUAAUGAAAUUCUUAGAAAAUAAUUUAUUUAAUCCAAUUUUCAGUUGAAGUUAGAAUCUUUGAAGAAUAAACUAUUUUACUAAACUAUGGCAUUUAAAAUUAAAUUAUGCCUCGCAUAGAAAAAGUUUGUAGAAAGAAUUAUUUUAUGUAAAAAAGAAAGAAGUAGUCGACUUAAUAAAUAAAUUUAUUCCAGAAAUACUUAACGGCUAACUACAAUUAAUGCUAAUUUCAUUAUAUUUAUUACUAAAUUAUUAAUUUAGGUGAAAAUUUAUACUAUAAGUUAGCAUAAUGAGAUUUGGUUUCCGUAAAAUCAGAUUGUUAUUGAACAAUAUUUCUAAAUUAUGUUUGUUUAGAAAUAUCAGAUUAACUAUUUUUUGAAAAAACAAAUUGUAGGCCAGGAGCCGGGGCACUGCUCGCCCUACUACUUCAGCCGGCCCUGGUCAUACAUGUAGAAGCAAACCUUUCAAAUAUGACAUCUCUGCUUAUAUUAAAUCCCCUACAAUUACUGAAUAGUUAUUCUCAUUGUUCUCCACAACAUACUUAUCAAGCCUUUGACCUAGGAGAGAAUCCAUCUUGACUAACUCGAAAAUUUCAAUUUGAACCAAGAACCAGUGAUUAACAUUUUUCUAGAUAUGAAAAAUUAUAUUUCACUCAUGUUAUAUAAAAUUCACAAUGCAGAAGUAGUCUCAUCCCGUGCAAGACACAUCCCGUGCAAGAUACAGAUCUUAAUCUAGUUAUAUAAAGUGUUUGAAAUACUUACCGAAACGUGUGAUAUCAGCUGUGUGUAGUUAUAUAAAGUGUUUAAUUUAGGCACUACAAAUGUGUCUAUGUUUACUUAUUACAUGUUUUCUUAUUAUAUACCAAAACUAUAUAUUUAAAUGCAUGUAGUCAUUUAACAAUAUCAUUUUUAAGUCUUGCAAAUGUGUACUAUAAUUUGAGCAACAUAUACUAAAAUGUCUCAACUUACGUGCUAUUCUAUAUGUUUAAAAAAAUUAUAUUUAAAUGAUAAUUUCAAAUUUUAACAGAAUUACAGUUUGACGGUUUGCAAAUUACAAGAGAAUCUCAUAUUUUAAUUUGACCUUAAUUUUAGUAAGGAUUUGUUCGUUGUAUAACUGCUUUGAUAGAUUUUGCAAAUUAUCCUAUAAAACCAAAUAUACUCUAAAUGUUAAUUAUGUUUGACAAUAGAUUAUUAAUCAAUCUAAUCUAACCUAUACUAAAAGGCAAAUUUAGAAGGAUUCUAACAUGUCUACGUUGACAUAUAUGUUUGGCCAAUCAAAACAUUUAAUUAAUACAUGUUGGAUCUACUAAACUAAACUAUUGAUUUCAUAUGGGCUUCGAUGUGCUUCCGCUGGGCUUCGUCGGUUAACACUGGGCUUUGCUAUCCUAUCGCUACAAUCUAUCGGUACAAUUUUUUUUUUAAGAAGAACCCUAGACGGUGAACACGAGGAUCUACGCCUCAAACUCUUCGUCUUCACAGUGUGUUCUCCAUCGUUUCAGUUCUCUCGAUCCACAUCUCCACAAUCAAUACUCCACUACAUCUGGAUCCAUCAAUUUCUUCUUUAUGAUUUCGUCUCCGUUUACUCUUUUCCUUCUACUUUAUAUACUGAUUUUCUCUCCUGAGUGCAAAUCAAACCCUAGAACUUCUCUAACCUCAAUCCAUGGCAAUGAAACCGAAUGGAAAAUCCCCUAUCACCUCCGAUUAUGAUGAAAAAGUCAUGUUCUUCCGAGAUGUCUCACCGGGUCCCAACGAAACCCAGCUGCGUUUCGGCUUGAUUCAUUUCUGGGAGGCUUGGAACCCUCUAAAGAAGACGCUUAUUGGCCUUGAGAUGCUUCUAAUCGACGAACAGGGAACUGUUAUCCAAGGAUUCAUUUCGCCAGGACGUAUUGAGAUAUAUUUGCCUAAAAUGAAGCCUGGAUCGGUUUACAAGCUCAACAAUUUCUAUGGAUCAAGCAACAAAUCGGUGUAUCGGGUUUCUGAUCAUGCCGUGACGGUGUCGUUCUCAUGGAACUCUGAACUGUCUGUUCUUGAAGACAGUCCCACCCCUUUUGAUGAAGACAGAUUCCGAUUUCAUUCCAUUGAGGAUUUUCAAGCUAACUGCGAUCGCAAAGGAGACCUCUACGGUAAUCUCUGUUAUCCCCCACACAAUCUUUUUGUUACAGUGCUUGCUGAUUAGAUGUGGUAUUUAGUCUUUCUUGCUGCUCAGAUAUAUAAAUCUCGAAUUUUGCUUAAAAUGUGUUUUAGGUUUGUCAUAAUCAUUCUCUGAAAUAUAGUUCGUCUUUGUCAGUCUCUGAAAUCACUCUUUCAGAACAGAACAUGACAAAUGAAAUUCACUAAUUCUGUUUGUAACAUUAGGAAGGAUUUUUUACUACACUCGGGUCUUGGAAUUUUUUUGAGGGUUCUAUCGUAGCAUAGUAUGAUUAGGAUCUGUUAGCUGCUUCAUUACUAUGUGUGUUUCGGUUUUGUGUGGUCAUGAAAUAGUAGAUUACUUAUUUCGUACUCUUCUUACUUACACACUUGAUGAACAAAGGGAUAGAUGUUGUUGGCCACAUGAAGCUGGUUAAUGGACAGAGUCUCAUUGGGACCCCAGUCCUUGACGAAGUGGAGAUAGAAAGGGCGAGGCAUCUUCUGGUUCAUGUGCAGUCACAAGAGUAUGUUUUUUAUUAUUUCUUAAACACCCUUUCUCUCUACUUCUAUUAACCAUUCAGUGAAAAUAUUUUGCAGUGGACCUGUGAUGAAGCUCUACCUUUGGGACCAGGCUGCAAGAGACUUCUGCAAAAAAUUCAAAUCAUACGAAAAUACCCCCACUGUGUUAUUAGUUACGACCUUUAACACUAAGAGUCUCGGAGGUUACGAUUUCUAUCUUUAAUAAAGCUUUCUUACAGUUAGAUAUCUACUCUUUAUGUUGUUUAAAUGGGUUUUUCUUAAUACAACAGGUACUCUUGCCCUGACUUCAAUGUCCUCCUCACGUGUUUUAUGGACUACGAUGUCCAACCUACGAUCGACUACUUCGGCUGGUAAAUAUAUAUUUGUGUGUUUACAUGUACGCUUUCGCUACAUAACCCCAUAUCAAUGACUGACUGGAUCAAUGCUUACUACUCUGUCUCAGGUUGGGCUCUAAUCCACAGAGUGCUGAUCGGGUUAAUGCAGAAGUGCUUACUAAACGUGAGACACUGACCAUAGGAGAAAUAUUCUCCUACAUCAAGCAGGGAUCUACUAAGGUACAACUAGGUCUAAAUAUUUCUUAGUCAUUGAUCCAAAGCUUUGAGGCUUAUAUAGCUUUGCGGUGCAGGAGGCUUUUUUUGAGUGCACGGCUACGAUUGAUGAUGUGGUCCAUCGCUCAACCUGGUAUUACAUAUCAUGCAGUGGGUGCCAUACUAAGGCUAGGAAAGGCCCAACUUCGUUGAUGUGUUCGAAAUGUGGGAAAGUCAACAUAUCUGGAGUAACACAGUAUUUACUCUAUACUCAGUACUCAGUAACGCUUUGAAUGGUAUUAGCUUCUAAUUUUUUUUAUGACAGGUACCGUGCACAGAUAUCUGUCUAUAACAACAGUGAGCAAGCUGUUUUUGUACUGUUUUUCAUGACAGGUACCGUGCACAGAUAUAUGUCUAUGACAACAGUGAGCAACCAAUUUGAUGCUCUUAAUGCACAUCAAAUCGAUUUACACUUCUUAUUUCUCAAUUCUUAUGAACUAAAAACAACAUCUCUUUCUAUUUCUCUCCAUAUUCAUCCAAAAAAAACUCAAGAUUUUGAUUCUAAAUUUUUUAUGGUUUAUAGAGCCAUUGAGGCUUACGAUUCUUGGUGGGUCACUUUUUUUUUGAGAUUUUGGGUGCUUGAGAAUAUUUAUAUGUGCUAAACAAGUUAUCUCACGCGUUGAAACUAUGAAAUCAGUAUUUUUUCAGAUAUGUUCGCCCAGGCGACUUCCGGGUAAGUUCUGGUUGUAGACGAUUUACAUGGAAAUCUUCUGGUCAAUGCAGAGGUUAGUUUUGCAAUUGACUUUUAAAUGUGUUUUUAGAGACGACUUACAUGGAAAUCGUCCAUCUUUGUUCGUUAAAAAAAAAAUAUGAGACGUCAUCUAGGUAAACGGGUUAGUUUUUCAAUUGACCGGAUUGUGUCAAAAAUUUGACUUUUCCUAGACGGCUUAUCCAUAAAUUGUCCAAUAGAAAAUUUUAAAAAAAUCAAUAUUUUGUUAUAUCUAGAUGACUUCCAUGUAAGUCAUCUAAGGUUAGUUUUGCAAUACAAAAAUAAAACAUAAAAAUUUAUUUUUUUCUAGACGACUUAUACGAAAGUCGUCCAUGAUUUUAUUCCAAGAUUCUGGUCAAACCUUGCUUAUCUUGGACGACUUCCAUGUAAGUCAACGGACGGAUGACUUCCGUGUAAGUUGUCUAUAAUUUUUUUUUUGUAUUUUUCAAUUGCAAAACUAACCUGAGACGACUACAUGGAAGUCAUCGAGGUAUAACAAAAUAUUGAUUUUUUAAUCUUUUACUAGACGGCUUAUGUGUAAGUCAUCCAGAAAAAGUCAAAUUUCUGAUACAAUCCAGUCAAAUGAAAAACUAACUUGUUUACCUUAGAAGACUUACAUGGAAGUUGUCUCAAAAAAGUUUUUUAACAAACAAAGAUGGACGACUUCCAUGUAAGUCGUCUAGGUUAAAAAUCAAUUGCAAAACUAAUCCAAAUGGACGGCUUCCUAGAAGUCUACCAAACGACCUACGUGGAAGUUGUAUGCGUCAAUGUUUAAUAAACUUUCAUUUUCUCUAAAACUAUAAAGACUUUUUAAUAUUUUCUUGUUAAUUCAUGUAUAUUAGUCGAUAUUUGAGCUCCUGAAUGAAAUUCACAACUUAAUUGGUUUUAAUUAUGAGUUUACCGACAUUCAUGUGUAUUAAUGUUUUCAGAAGACUUUCAUAGAAGUCUUCUACGUUAGUUUUUGUAAAUUUGUUAAAUAACUUUAAGAUAUGUUUAUUUGAUUUUCAAAAGUGUUAGGUAAAUUCAAGAAUAUCAAGUAUUAAAAUGUGUCUUCAUAGAUCAUAAGAUAUACUUUUUAAAUUCAAAAAAAUUGAAAUUUCAAUUUUCACUUAAAAUUUUGAGUUUCCUGCUUAAAUUAUAAUUUUCCGCUUAUAUUUCAAUUUUUCGCUUUAAAUUUAAGUCUUCGAAGAAGACUUCCGAGAAGACUUUUAAUGAAAGUGUUCUAUCUUUGAACUUAUGUAAUAGUUUAUCUUUUGUAAAUUUGACUAAUUUUUCUUGAGAAUUCUUCUCCCUUAGUUGAAAUAAAUUUGAUUAAUUUUUUUGUAUUAUUGUGUUUUGCUGUUAAGGUUAUAUCAAUAUACUUAUAUAAAACACAAAACAUACAUAUCCAAGUGGAAAAUGAGAACCAUCUGGUUAAGAACCUGCAACAAAAAGAUAGAUUAGUGAGAAAGAUACGAGACAAAAAUGAAAAAUUCAUAUAAAGUUUGGUGUUUUCAAGUCAAAGAGAUUAGAGUGGGUUUGGAGAGCUUUAGUUUGGAAAAAAAGUAAGAACUUUAUGCAACAAGAGAUUACCAAAUGAA